rnacentral:rRNA from 1 species
AGGACGAACGCUGGCGGCGUGCUUAACACAUGCAAGUCGAACGGAAAGGCCCUGCUUUUGUGGGGUGCUCGAGUGGCGAACGGGUGAGUAACACGUGAGUAACCUGCCCUUGACUUUGGGAUAACUUCAGGAAACUGGGGCUAAUACCGGAUAGGAGCUCCUGCUGCAUGGUGGGGGUUGGAAAGUUUCGGCGGUUGGGGAUGGACUCGCGGCUUAUCAGCUUGUUGGUGGGGUAGUGGCUUACCAAGGCUUUGACGGGUAGCCGGCCUGAGAGGGUGACCGGCCACAUUGGGACUGAGAUACGGCCCAGACUCCUACGGGAGGCAGCAGUGGGGAAUAUUGCACAAUGGGCGGAAGCCUGAUGCAGCAACGCCGCGUGGCGGGAUCGACGGCCUUCGGGUUAGUAAACCGCUUUCGCCUGUGACGAAGCGUGAGUGACGGUAAGUGGUAAAGAAGCGACCGCUAACGUACGUGACCGAGCAGGCCGC